rnacentral:rRNA from 1 species
CUGGUGGGUAGUUUGACUGGGGCGGUCGCCUCCUAAAGAGUAACGGAGGCGCCCAAAGGUUCCCUCAGCCUGGUUGGCAAUCAGGUUUUGAGUGUAAGUGCACAAGGGAGCUUGACUGUGAGAGGGACAUCUCGAGCAGGGACGAAAGUCGGGACUAGUGAUCCGGCACCUACUUGUGGAUGUGGUGUCGCUCAACGGAUAAAAGGUACCCCGGGGAUAACAGGCUGAUCUUCCCCAAGAGUCCAUAUCGACGGGAUGGUUUGGCACCUCGAUGUCGGCUCGUCGCAUCCUGGGG